GGCUCCUUCUUCUGGCGUGUUGAUAGCUGACACCUUUCUUCCUCUGGACACCAGUAUUUUCACCGGGUAUCCCCAGCGGUAUGGCAGCUUGUGGAGCCGGAGCUGUUCUGUGACUUCUCUAAAUUCUCUCCUUCGUUUCAACGUGUAUGUUGAUACGUCUGCCCCCCAUAUGGGUCUGGAAGCGUCUUCUUCACUCGGCUUGCCUAGAGCACUAGUUCUUUCACGUGGUAGUAGUGC